rnacentral:rRNA from 1 species
AAGAUUAAGCCAUGCAUGUCUAAGUAUAAGCAAUUUAUACAGUGAAACUGCGAAUGGCUCAUUAAAUCAGUUAUCGUUUAUUUGAUAGUUCCUUUACUACAUGGUAUAACUGUGGUAAUUCUAGAGCUAAUACAUGCUUAAAAUCUCGACCCUUUGGAAGAGAUGUAUUUAUUAGAUAAAACCAAUGCCCUUCGGGGCUCCUUGGUGAUUCAUAAUAACUUAACGAAUCGCAU